GACGGAGGAGGCAAGCGUUAUCCGGAAUUAUUGGGCGUAAAGGGUACGUAGGCGGCUAGUCAAGUCUGGGGUUAAAGGCCACAGCUCAACUGUGGGAAGGCCCUGGAAACUGACCGGCUAGAGUGAGGUAGGGGUUGCGGGAAUUCCCGGUGUAGCGGUGAAAUGCGUAGAGAUCGGGAAGAACACCUGAGGCGGAAGCGCGCAACUGGGCCUCAACUGACGCUGAGUUACGAAAGCUAGGGGAGCGAAUGGG
rnacentral:rRNA from 1 species